GCAGUUUUCUCGGAAAAAACCUCCGUUUUCCAAACCUUCUUACUUCUGUUUCAGACUUUCAGUUCUCCUUCCUCAUUUAAUUCUCUCCCAAGCCCAUCUGAAUCUGGUACCCAAAAUCAGUUUCCAUGGCGUCUUCCUCAGGUACUAAAAAGCAAAUAGGGCUAUUGGCGAAUGCCCUAAAACGGAAAGACAGCUUCAUCCAGUUCUUUGCAAUGGGUGGAAUCUUAUUUUUGAGCAUGAGAUCUUUAGGUCAAAAAUACCGUCUCCAUAGUCUCCAAGAAGAUAACUAUGAUCUUAGGGAGGAGCACGAAAAACUCACUGAGAAAAUGAAGAAUAUUAAGCGUAGUCUUCUUGAUGAAGCAGCUCUUGAUUCUACUGGUUUACUAGCUUCCCGACUUCGAUUACUUUUCGGAAACGAUGACAAAUGAUUUCAGCAGGCGAGAGAAUAGAGGUAUAGGAGGAGAGCUGAUUUCGGAAAUUGCUCGCAAGAGAAUCAAACAAACGAGAAUUUUCUAAAAGAAGGCAGUAGUGAGUAGAUUAUUUAUGACAGAUUUUUACAUGUUUUCUCGAAUAGCAAAAUAUGGUGUGUGCUUGUUGGACAUAACAUGCCUCCUAUAUUCAAUUGUUCUUUGUACAAUAAUCUACGUAGUAGGAAAUACAUGUAUAACUUAAGGUUGGUGAGUUCAUCUCAUAUGAAUUUUGAAAGUCAUUCUCAGCAAUUGCUACUCCAUGAUCUAUGCCUCAACUUAGGCUUUUGCUUAGAAGUUAAACAUCCGAUUGUUUAUUUCA